rnacentral:rRNA from 1 species
GGACGAACGCUGGCGGCGUGCUUAACACAUGCAAGUCGAACGGAAAGGCCCUGCUCUUGUGGGGUGCUCGAGUGGCGAACGGGUGAGUAACACGUGAGUAACCUGCCCUUGACUUUGGGAUAACUUCAGGAAACUGGGGCUAAUACCGGAUAGGAGCUCCUGCUGCAUGGUGGGGGUUGGAAAGUUUCGGCGGUUGGGGAUGGACUCGCGGCUUAUCAGCUUGUUGGUGGGGUAGUGGCUUACCAAGGCUUUGACGGGUAGCCGGCCUGAGAGGGUGACCGGCCACAUUGGGACUGAGAUACGGCCCAGACUCCUACGGGAGGCAGCAGUGGGGAAUAUUGCACAAUGGGCGGAAGCCUGAUGCAGCAACGCCGCGUGCGGGAUGACGGCCUUCGGGUUGUAAACCGCUUUCGCCUGUGACGAAGCGUGAGUGACGGUAAUGGGUAAAGAAGCACCGGCUAACUACGUGCCAGCAGCCGCGGUGAUACGUAGGGUGCGAGCGUUGUCCGGAUUUAUUGGGCGUAAAGGGCUCGUAGGUGGUUGAUCGCGUCGGAAGUGUAAUCUUGGGGCUUAACCCUGAGCGUGCUUUCGAUACGGGUUGACUUGAGGAAGGUAGGGGAGAAUGGAAUUCCUGGUGGAGCGGUGGAAUGCGCAGAUAUCAGGAGGAACACCAGUGGCGAAGGCGGUUCUCUGGGCCUUUCCUGACGCUGAGGAGCGAAAGCGUGGGGAGCGAACAGGCUUAGAUACCCUGGUAGUCCACGCUGUAAACGGUGGGUACUAGGUGUGGGGUCCAUUCCACGGGUUCCGUGCCGUAGCUAACGCUUUAAGUACCCCGCCUGGGGAGUACGGCCGCAAGGCUAAAACUCAAAGGAAUUGACGGGGCCCCGCACAAGCGGCGGAGCAUGCGGAUUAAUUCGAUGCAACGCGUAGAACCUUACCUGGGUUUGACAUGGAUCGGGAGUGCUCAGAGAUGGGUGUGCCUCUUUUGGGGUCGGUUCACAGGUGGUGCAUGGCUGUCGUCAGCUCGUGUCGUGAGAUGUUGGGUUAAGUCCCGCAACGAGCGCAACCCUUGUUCACUGUUGCCAGCACGUUAUGGUGGGGACUCAGUGGAGACCGCCGGGGUCAACUCGGAGGAAGGUGGGGAUGACGUCAAGUCAUCAUGCCCCUUAUGUCCAGGGCUUCACGCAUGCUACAAUGGCUGGUACAGAGAGUGGCGAGCCUGUGAGGGUGAGCGAAUCUCGGAAAGCCGGUCUCAGUUCGGAUUGGGGUCUGCAACUCGACCUCAUGAAGUCGGAGUCGCUAGUAAUCGCAGAUCAGCAACGCUGCGGUGAAUACGUUCCCGGGGCUUGUACACACCGCCCGUCAAGUCAUGAAAGUUGGUAACACCCGAAGCCGGUGGCCUAACCGUUGUGGGGGAGCCGUCGAAGGUGGGACUGGUGAUUAGGACU